GGUUGAUCCUGCCGGACCUGACUGCUAUCGGAUUGGUACUAAGCCAUGUGAGUCAUUGUAGCAAUACAAGGCAUACGGCUCAGUAACACGUAGUCAAUCUGCCCUAUGGACGUGGAUAACCUCGGGAAACUGAGAAUAAUCCGCGGUAGAUCAUAAUGCCUGGAACGGUUUAUGGUCCAAAUGAUUCGUCGCCAUAGGAUGGGACUGCGGCCUAUCAGCUUGUUGGUGAGGUAAUGGCCCACCAAGGCUAUUACAGGUACGGGCUCUGAGAGGAGAAGCCCGGAGAUGGGUACUGAGACACGGACCCAGGCCCUAUGGGGCGCAGCAGGCGAGAAACCUUUGCAAUGUGCGCAAGCACGACAAGGUUAAUCCGAGUGUUUCCUGCUAAAGGAAUCUUUUGUUAGUUCUAAAACCACUGAUGAAUAAGGGGUGGGCAAGUUCUGGUGUCAGCCGCCGCGGUAAAACCAGCACCUCAAGUGGUCAGGAUGAUUAUUGGGCCUAAAGCAUCCGUAGCUCGUUUUGUAAGUUUUCGGUUAAAUCCAUGCGCUUUAACGUAUGGGCUGCCGGGAAUACUGCAUAACUAGGAAGUGGGAGAGGUAGACGGUACUCGGUAGGAAGGGGUAAAAUCCUUUGAUCUAUUGAUGACCACCUGUGGCGAANGCGGUCUACCAGAACACGUUCGACGGUGAGGGAUGAAAGCUGGGGGAGCAAACCGGAUUAGAUACCCGGGUAGUCCCAGCUGUAAACGAUGCAAACUCGGUGAUGCACCGGCUUAAUGCCCGGCGCAGUGCCGCAGGGAAGCCGUUAAGUUUGCCGCCUGGGAAGUACGGUCGCAAGGCUGAAACUUAAAGGAAUUGGCGGGGGAGCAC
rnacentral:rRNA from 1 species